ACUGACUAGCAUAUACUAAUCCAGAGCAGUGUUUGUCCCAUAGGAAUUGUAAUGCUAAUUCCACAUCCUCAGAUGAGAGACAGAACGAGACACAGAGAGAGACAGCCCUUUCUUACCUUGUAAUCCAAGUUGGGAGGGAUCAGAAACCCAGGAGCUAAGUACGUUUCACCUUCCAGCAUCUCUACCCGGAUGUAUUCACUCAGGCACAGCCAUCGUACGUCUGAUCCCUUUUCAUCCCAUCUGUACUCGGGUCGCUGCGGUGCACGUCUGUAAGGCCCUGGGUGAGCAGCACCCUCCCCGGCAGCAGAGCGGCCAGCCCUAGCCACCGCACCUUCCUUCUUGGUGUGGGCUUUGCCUUUCAGCUUCCAGGUAAUUAUACAGCACAUUAAUUGAUAUGGUCAAGUCACCAUUAUUGAAGGGGUAAGAUCUAUUCCAUCCCUGUGCUCCAAAUUUGCGCCGUUCAGCCACCACCGCAUGGAAGUAACAGAGUGCAAACAAGAUGCAUUUGAACUCAAUUUCUCUGCUGCACAUCUCCAAAGUGUCCUGUAGUGGAAGAAAACUGAGAGUGGGUUUGCAGGCAAGAGUGAGUGUCGCCUUGUCCAUCAGCCUAUUAAUGAAAAUUAACAGGUAAUGGCAAAGCAGAACUGAAAGUCAUUUAUUAAAACAAUACAUAAAAUUCUGUUUUUAAGGA